rnacentral:rRNA from 1 species
UGCAGUUGACGGGAUUGGCUUAGCAAUAGGCCAUGAGAGUAGCGCACGGGUGCGUAACACGUAUGCAACCUGCCCCUGACUGGAGGAUAGCCUCUCGAAAGAGAGAUUAAUAUUCCAUAACAUAUAGUAUAAGCAUUUAUAUUAUAUCAAAGCUCCGGCGGUCAGGGAUGGGCAUGCGGCUGAUUAGGUAGUUGGUGAGGUAACGGCUCACCAAGCCGACGAUCAGUAGGGGGUCUGAGAGGAUGUCCCCCCACACUGGUACUGAGACACGGACCAGACUCCUACGGGAGGCAGCAGUAGGGAAUAUUGGUCAAUGGGGGCAACCCUGAACCAGCCAUGCCGCGUGCAGGAUGACUGCCCUAUGGGUUGUAAACUGCUUUUGUACGGGAAGAAACCUCCGAACGUGUUCGGAGUUGACGGUACCGUGAGAAUAAGGAUCGGCUAACUUCGUGCCAGCAGCCGCGGUAAUACGAAGGAUCCAAGCGUUGUCCGGAUUUACUGGGUUUAAAGGGAGCGUAGGCGGACUUUUAAGUCAGUGGUGAAAGCUUCCCGCUUAACGGGAAAACUGCCAUUGAAACUGCUAGUCUCGAGUAUGGUUGAGGUUACUGGAAUGUUGCAUGUAGCGGUGAAAUGCUUAGAUAUGCAACAGAACACCAAUUGCGAAGGCAGGUAACUAAGCCAUAACUGACGCUGAGGCUCGAAAGCGUGGGGAGCAAACAGGAUUAGAUACCCUGGUAGUCCACGCCCUAAACUUUGAAUACUCGGUCUUGGCGAUAUACAGUCAGGGCCCAAGCGAAAGCGUUAAGUAUUCCACCUGGGGAGUACGUUCGCAAGAAUGAAACUCAAAGGAAUUGACGGGGGCC